GCCCGGGUGGUCUAGUGGGUUAGUAGUCCUUUACUCUCCAACUAUCUUCAUAAAUAUACUAAUAAAAUCACAGUAUGAUUCUCGCUUAGGGUUCACCCUUAGCAUAUAUGCGAGAGGUCCCGCGUUCGAUCCGCGGCUCGGGCC